UACGUAGGGCGCGAGCGUUGUCCGGAUUUAUUGGGCGUAAAGAGCUCGUAGGCGGCUUGUCGCGUCGUUCGUGAAAACCCGGGGCUCAACUCCGGGCUUGCGGGCGAUACGGGCAGGCUAGAGUUCGGUAGGGGAGACUGGAAUUCCUGGUGUAGCGGUGAAAUGCGCAGAUAUCAGGAGGAACACCGGUGGCGAAGGCGGGUCUCUGGGCCGAAACUGACGCUGAGGAGCGAAAGCGUGGGGAGCAAACAGG
rnacentral:rRNA from 1 species